UAGUGGACUUUCGACGGUGAAGUUAGUGUUUUAUGGUGGCGUUGAGUCGCGGUGGAUGUCAACAAUUAUGUGAGGAGAGGCGAUCGACGAGAGGUUGGGCUGGAAUUAUGUGGUGAUCGUGAGAUGAGUAGAAACGUUGAAGAGAUGAGGGAGAAGUCAGAUCCGUGUUUUUUUCUUCUUUUUUUUUAUUGAGAAGGGUGUAUGUGUUAUUAUGCUUUUGAGAAGUUUUUUUUAAUGAAUGAAAGGUGUUUGUUAUGGUUGUAGUGUAGUGGAGAAGAAUAGGUAAUAUGGAUGGAAGAAGAUGAGAGAGUAAGAUCAGGAGUGAUGUGUGGAGAAAGGAAAUCGAUUUCUUUUGGGUCCUUUUUUAAAAUUUUACUGAGUCUACGCCUUAUACUCAGUAGCCAAGGUGGUG
rnacentral:lncRNA from 1 species